CCUGGACCAGCAGGUCACUGGUUGGAAGCUUGAGAAGGAAUUACCUCUUCGCAGCAGGUCUUCGAGCCUUGUUCAGCUGAACUUGUACACUGCGAAGUUGGUUUGGAAGAUAUUCUAACCUGAGCGAGAGUGCGAACGAGCUUUGGAUCGUCGUGAGCUGACUUGUGAGAGCUCUUGGAGGCGUCUCUUGAGCAGCAUUGAGGCUUCGUUGAGCCGUUGUGGGACUUCUUGUGGAUAAUCGGAGCCUAGUACUAGAGCCUGUUACAGGAGAGGCUAGGGAUCGUGGCAAGGGAGU